rnacentral:snoRNA from 1 species
AACCUUUGGAUUCCGUACCCAUUCGAUCUAAACCCUGGGCUGAGAGGUUACAAAAGGAGGAAAAGUAAAAUUGAAAUUUAAAAGCUUCCUGGUUUCCCAGAGCAGAAAACCCCCAACACGU